rnacentral:lncRNA from 1 species
CAGUUGGGCUCGCGGCGAGCGGACCAGGUCGAGUCAGUGCGUUCGCGCGAGGUCCAUCUGGUUGGUAUUGAUAUUUUUACUGGGAAGAAAUAUGAAGAUAUCUGCCCGUCGACUCAUAACAUGGAUGUCCCCAACAUCAAAAGGAAUGAUUUCCAGCUGAUUGGCAUCCAGGAUGGGUACCUAUCCCUGCUCCAGGACAGUGGGGAGGUACGAGAGGACCUUCGUCUGCCUGAGGGAGACCUUGGCAAGGAGAUUGAGCAGAAGUAUGACUGUGGAGAAGAGAUCCUGAUCACAGUGCUGUCCGCCAUGACAGAGGAGGCAGCUGUUGCAAUCAAGGCCAUGGCAAAAUAACUGGCUUCCAGGGUGGCGGUGGUGGCAGCAGUGAUCCAUGAGCCUACAGAGGCCCCUCCCCCAGCUCUGGCUGGGCCCUUGGCUGGACUCCUAUCCAAUUUAUUUGACGUUUUAUUUUGGUUUUCCUCACCCCUUCAAACUGUCGGGGAGACCCUGCCCUUCACCUAGCUCCCUUGGCCAGGCAUGAGGGAGCCAUGGCCUUGGUGAAGCUACCUGCCUCUUCUCUCGCAGCCCUGAUGGGGGAAAGGGAGUGGGUACUGCCUGUGGUUUAGGUUCCCCUCUCCCUUUUUCUUUUUAAUUCAAUUUGGAAUCAGAAAGCUGUGGAUUCUGGCAAAUGGUCUUGUGUCCUUUAUCCCACUCAAACCCAUCUGGUCCCCUGUUC